GGCGCACGGGUGCGUAACGCGUAUGCAACCUACCCAUAACAGGGGCAUAACACUGAGAAAUUGGUACUAAUUCCCCAUAACAUUCGAAGAGGCAUCUCUUUGGGUUGAAAACUCCGGUGGUUAUGGAUGGGCAUGCGUUGUAUUAGCUAGUUGGUGAGGUAACGGCUCACCAAGGCGACGAUACAUAGGGGGACUGAGAGGUUAACCCCCCACAUUGGUACUGAGACACGGACCAAACUCCUACGGGAGGCAGCAGUGAGGAAUAUUGGUCAAUGGACGCAAGUCUGAACCAGCCAUGCCGCGUGCAGGAUGACGGCUCUAUGAGUUGUAAACUGCUUUUGUACGAGGGUAAACUCACCUACGUGUAGGUGACUGAAAGUAUCGUACGAAUAAGGAUCGGCUAACUCCGUGCCAGCAGCCGCGGUAAUACGGAGGAUUCAAGCGUUAUCCGGAUUUAUUGGGUUUAAAGGGUGCGUAGGCGGUUAGAUAAGUUAGAGGUGAAAUCCCGGGGCUUAACUCCGAAAUUGCCUCUAAUACUGUUUGA
rnacentral:rRNA from 1 species